rnacentral:rRNA from 1 species
AACGAACGCUGGCGGCAUGCCUAACACAUGCAAGUCGAACGAGACCUUCGGGUCUAGUGGCGCACGGGUGCGUAACGCGUGGGAACCUGCCCUUAGGUUCGGAAUAACUCCCCGAAAGGGGUGCUAAUACCGGAUAAUGUCUUCGGACCAAAGAUUUAUCGCCUUUGGAUGGGCCCGCGUUGGAUUAGCUAGUUGGUAGGGUAAAAGCCUACCAAGGCGACGAUCCAUAGCUGGUCUGAGAGGAUGAUCAGCCACACUGGGACUGAGACACGGCCCAGACCCCUACGGGAGGCAGCAGUGGGGAAUAUUGGACAAUGGGCGAAAGCCUGAUCCAGCAAUGCCGCGUGAGUGAUGAAGGCCUUAGGGUUGUAAAGCUCUUUUACCCGGGAUGAUAAUGACAGUACCGGGAGAAUAAGCUCCGGCUAACUCCGU